rnacentral:lncRNA from 1 species
UUGAAAUUAACAUACAGCUUUUAGUAGCCAUCAUCAUAGGAUUCACCAAAAUUACAUCUCUCUUUUUGAUUGGUGUUUAUCUUGUUCACGAGGCCCUUCGCUUGUUGAUUUGCAUUCAUCAAAGCAUGCUUGAAGUGCCCUCUUUAUCAUAAAGUCCAUAUAGAGAUUUUGUGCUUUCACUCUCCUUUCGACGAGUUCCUCUAUCUGCCGGUUGUAUAUAAAAAGCCAAUAUAGAAGUUAGCAGACAUGCCAAUUAUGCAUCAUACAAGUUAACCAAGGAGUGGGUGCUAGUUGUAUUGCUGAAUCUGUAUCAUAAAUUGCUAAGCUCCAGAUAGUUUGAAAAGAUAUAAAGAUGCACUAAAACCUCUUAAAGUAUAAGGGUAAGAGAAUUCAUGAAAUUAUCAUAUAGAAGAUAACCUUGAUAUUUUGGAGGCAUAAACAUUAAUUCCCAAUCUCUUCCCAUUUUAACCAAGAUGAAAUCAAGCUGAAGAUUUUGAUGUCCAGAAUGCUCCGGGCUUGAAUUCGGAUAUUGGAAACUAAAAUUCUCCCAACUCAAGGAUUUGCCUGCACAAGAAAUAGUAACUCCUACUAAAGAGAGAGAUUAACCUAAGCCAACCAAGUGCUUUUGUAGAAGAGUUGGAGAUUCCAUGUGGCCAUGUAAGAGCUAGCGUUGCCACGUUUUUGGAAACAAUACUAAAGUGUGCGAGCCUAUGUCUCUUUCAAUGCGUUGUAGAGGAUUUCUUCAGCAAAAUGGCUUGAGAGGUUGGGUCAUUUGGUCCUCUUUUGGGCUCCUUCUGUCGAGCCACGAGGAGCUCAGUAAUUCAGGUGGUGUGGGCCGGCUAGUGCUUUAUUGUUAGCAUAGCAAGCAAACCAUCCACACACACACACACACACAGUACCAUGAAGCCAGAACUAGUUGUUUUUUUUUUUGUUGGUAGAUUACUAAAUCUAGAUUGGGAACAACUAUGAUUUUUACGUGAGUAUAUUUAAAUAUGGUUGCCGGAUUAAUGCCAUUCUUGAAAUUUAAGUGUGUAUCAUGGCAGUGUCGGUAUCGCAAGAAUAUUUCAUGACCUUGUAGAAGGCUAUGGAUUCCUAAAAUAAGAAAAGAGAUUAUAAUUAAGUCUAUUUUGUUGAAAUUAUCACCAAUCAUUGUUUUACCAUUCAAAUGAUAUCUCAAUCUUGGUUCUUAUAUAUCAACUAAGUCUUGAGAAAUUUCUGACCCUUUUAAAAUUUCAUUUCCCUUUUUCCCCAGGGGUCUUAAAGGCAUAUUAUCAGCUACUUAUUAGGAUGACUAAUAUAUCAACCUAUAAUCUUAUUUUAUGGAAAGACAAGUAUUUUGAUAAAAAAUACAUAUUGGUGAGAUUAGAAAUUUCUUAGAAUUAGUCGCUCAAUACAUUCCUAAGACAGAAGCUUACUAGCAGUCAAAAUUAGAUGGACCUCUUUCUAAACAAUUCUAGGACUUUUAGUUUUCAUUUUAAAGAAAAUCUUAUUUUAUGGAAAGACAAGUAUUUUGAUAAAAAAUAUGUAGAAAGGAUACAUGCUUAAUAAUUGGUGAGAUUAGAAAUUUCUUAGAAUUAGUCGUUCAAUACAUCCCUAAGACAGAAACUUACUAGCAGUCAAAAUUAGAUGGACUUCUUUCUAAACAAUUCUCGGACUUUUAGUUUUUCAUUUUAAAGAAAAUAUUGUGAUCAAAAUCGAACGAGCUCUAAAUUUAUUUUCUAGAAGAAGAAAAGGGAUGAACAAAACAUAAAUUGAGAAUGUUUUAACUACUUUUGUGAUGUGCACUAUAUAACUAGUAAGAACCAUGAUGCACAAUGAGAUUGAUAUGUCGAGAAAGUAGGCCCAUCUGAUCUGAUUCAUGGUGAGAUGUACUAUAUUUAAGGGAAUUGUGGGGUGAAUUGCAUGCCUGCCGGUGUAUGUUAUAUAAGUGGCCGUGGGUAGGACCUCGUAUAAUUAUGCACCCUGGAGUUUUCUCUCAUAAUUAUGGCAGGAUAGUGGGAAGCAUAGGUGCCCAUGGACCUCAAACAUCGGUGAUAGACCUCCUUAUUAAAAUCCCUCUUUUCACAAGCUCUUAAGAACUACAAGUCAUCUAAUUAAGGGUAAGAAAUAUUAUCUUAAAAAUAAAAUGAAAGGCUAGCUAUUUUAGCAAAACAAAAGUUACCUUUUCUCGCUCCUCCAUAUGAACUCUUUCAUCCUCAUUAGAGUGAGGAUGCUUCGAAGAAGAACCCUUCUC